UCCCUUUCAAAAUUCUUGUGGUUUGGCACGGUGUUUAUUUUUAAUGUUAAUUUAAGAAUGAUGUCUAAUGAUUUCUUGUUUCGUAGUUUAAAGAAUGAUUAAUUUACUAAAACAAAUAAGAAAGAUAAAAGGAGAGAGAUACAGAUUCUUACCGAGCAGAAAGUCAGUUAAGAAAGCUGCCGUAUCUGUUAAUUAAUUAAAAAAAUUAAUCUCCAUUAAAAGUUAGCCAAGAAAUGAAGUAAAAGAAUUAAUAUGCAAAAAUUGUGUAAUUAAUGUGCCAACAAUUGUUUUAUUACCAAUUAUAUAUAAUACAUCUGAUAUCUUUCUGGGAUAGAAAACUCACAUUGUGAGAUUGGUAUGGGUUCUGCAAGUUUGA